rnacentral:rRNA from 1 species
AGUGAACGCUGGCGGUAGGCCUAACACAUGCAAGUCGAACGGCAGCACAGUAAGAGCUUGCUCUUACGGGUGGCGAGUGGCGGACGGGUGAGGAAUACAUCGGAAUCUACUUUUUCGUGGGGGAUAACGUAGGGAAACUUACGCUAAUACCGCAUACGACCUACGGGUGAAAGCAGGGGAUCUUCGGACCUUGCGCGAUUGAAUGAGCCGAUGUCGGAUUAGCUAGUUGGCGGGGUAAAGGCCCACCAAGGCGACGAUCCGUAGCUGGUCUGAGAGGAUGAUCAGCCACACUGGAACAAAGAAACGGUCCAGACUCAUACGGGAGGCAGCAGUGGGGAAUAUUGGACAAUGGGCGCAAGCCUGAACCAGCCAUACCGCGUGGGUGAAGAAGGCCUUCGGGUUGUAAAGCCCUUUUGUUGGGAAAGAAAAGCAGCAGGUUAAUACCCCGCUGUUCUGACGGGACCCAAAGAAUAAGCACCGGCUAACUUCGUG